UUUCCGCAGGUGAACCUGCGGAAGGAUCAUUACAGAGUUCAUGCCCCCACGGGUAGAUCUCCCACCCUUGAAUAUUUAUACCUUAGUUGCUUUGGCAGGCCGUGGAAACACCAUGGGCUCCGGCUUAUGCGUGCCUGCCAGAGGAAACAAACUCUGUUUUUAGUGAUGUCUGAGUACUAUAUAAUAGUUAAAACUUUCAACAACGGAUCUCUUGGUUCUG
rnacentral:misc_RNA from 1 species